GCCACAGGCUUCUCAGAUUAAGGAGUCCCCACGAGCCCUGGUCCCCCAAGUGGGAGAGUGAAAAUGACCAUCCGUGAAGGGGAUGCCGGAAGUACCCGUCUGAUCCCAGAGGCACUGCGCAGAGAUGGCUGGUAGGCCAAGGAUGCUCAUCAUUCCCCAUGUGGAAUCUCCGACCUUUCCCACCACUUGUCAAGGCCCCAAGGCACCUCUUUUCUCUCUUCUCUCCCUUUCUUGCCCUAGCAGAGUCAUGUAAAAUCAUGGAAACAACUUGUGUUCAACUCGUGGAUCUUAAUGCUUAAGAAUUAAUUCCCAGAUGAACAACAGGUGCUUACGUGACAGCAGGGCCAGAACUGGGAGCAGGAGAGUAGGGUUGCAGCAUCUCCUCGGAGUGGAUCCCACUGUCACGGACAGCCUCGGGGCCUGCAGUGGGAGAAGCAUCUUGCCCGGCAUUUGCACACUGGGAAGCCAGCCCUUUGUACAGCUUCGCCAUGGAUGACCUAAUGGAAUGGAGGAAAAUAUUCCUGUGGAUUUGGAAAACAAAACUCAGUAUCCCUGCUUUAACGAGAGAAAGUGAAAUGAUAAACCAAACCGGAGGGAAGGGGCCAUGAAUAAAUCUCCAAGGACCCCUUGGCGUGGCCACUUCAAGACCCUUUCCUGCAGAGCAUGAAGCAAAUCCAGGUGCUGCUGGACAAGGUGAGCACACCAGGGAAGAAAAUACAGAAAGAGGAGGAAGAAGGGUGCCGAACACAAUGCCUUAUUUUGGAAUUUGUCUCUCUUGGCCCUAACGAUGGUCAGAAGGCUGCUAUGAAGCAAAUUCAGGGACUGGGCCUGUGCCUUGAGAACUCUGCAAAGUCAUAGAUGUCAAGAUUUGAGAAAUCUCCACAAGAUAUGCCAAAAUCCUGCAACACCUGUCUAAAGGCUCUACAGGAGCAAAAGCCCAGGUAUUUUGAAGUAACACAUGAUGGCAAGGAUGGCAAGGUAACUGC